rnacentral:tRNA from 1 species
GCUCCUGUCGUCUAAACGGUUCAGGAUCUCCGGCUUUCUACCGGAGGAUACGGGUUCGAAUCCCGUCGGGAGUA